CAGACAGAGCAGAGCAGAGGAGGUCAUGAUUAUUUUCUCCUGCUCGGACAGAGUGGGGGCAGGGCAGGCCUUGCCUUCUUCCUGCCACCACCAAGUGACCUAGCAUUUCAGUUAGCCCUUUUGUCUGGGGCAUGAGAAGCUAUGGAAGCCAGGGGCUCCUUCCUACCAGCUAAGGAGGAUGGAACCACACAUGUCCAGCACCACCAGGGAAGGCCAGCCAUCUUCACGCCUCAUGGCCUCCUUGUGGGCUGGAUCCCUUUUGCUUGGUAGGAAUGAAUGGGUGACCAACUUUGAUGAAGGCACGGACAUUCUGAGGCCUCCGUCUGGCCGCACUGAACACCCAGGCCAUGGUUUCAUGGAGAAGACACUGAAGUCUCAAAAGCUUCAGGACAGUAGGGAAUAGUCCUUCCCCGUCUCCCAGGCAGGAGUCUGGGGCUUGUGCCCAGGGCAGUCAGUGAGGAGGGUGGACUCCUGACACUGCAAGACUAGCUGAGGUUCCCAACCACUUAACUCUCAUCAGGAGCCCAGUAGGGAGGCAGCCUGCAUCUUCCUCAGCCAUGCACAGUGGGGUGUCAUGAACUGCAAGGAGCGAGGGCUCAGAGGGAGCUUCUCAGUGAACACCCUCUUUUCUGCACUCAACACCAUAUUUGGCUGGUUCAUCGCCCGUGGGCGUCAUAAUACAGGAUAUAUUCAUCCUUCAAAUGUUCUAUUUUAAUUUUAAGCAGGGAUGUACAUCCGUGUGCCAACCUUCUGAGGCGGGCCCGGGUGCUUCUCUGAGAAGGGCCCAUGUGGCCCAGACUGUACCAUGGCCUGUGACUCUGGUUCAUGUUCUUAUCAGUGGAGACGAAAGACCCCGGGAAAUAGAGCUGAGAGCAGACUCUCACUAGAGUUUUUCAUAUCCUCCUUCUGCUUUUUUGCAGUUGGCUUGCCCACGCCUAAUUCAAUAGAUUAAAAAAAAAAAAAGGCAAGUUGCUCCUUCAAGACUUUUAUGAAAUCUUGAUUUUAAUGAAACAGCUCUGGCCUCUUUUCUGACUCUCUUGAUUAAUUUACAUAGCGUGUAACUGAGUUAUAACAAAGAUAAUAAGUAGAUGUGGGGUCAAAGGGAGCCAGCUCUCUGAGAGGUGACUGACUUGAUGUACCACAGGGCACUGGCUUUCCUUUCAAAUGUAAAGUGUGGUUUUUGGGGUGGUGGGGGUGGUGGGUGAGGUCUUCCUAGGCUCCCAGCAAGCGCAUCUUCCUCCUCCCAGCUUGGGAGCCCGAGGUCCCACUGGGGGAAGAGGAGAGCAGAAUUCUCUAUCAAGGCUGAUGACCAGGGUCCAGCCCAGCUCCAGGCUCCUUCAGGAGCUGUGUUCUGUCUCCUGACGUGAGGCACCACCAGAGGAAGUGCUGGUCACCUAGGGAAAUGGAUUGUAGGUAUAGAGGGGGAGAAAUGGGUUUUCUACCUGGUAUCCUGGAUCCAGAACCUUCUAGAAAGUCUUUGUGUCUUAGCUUUAUGCCAUCUUUUGACUGAGGGACUCAGGUCACAAAAACAAGAAGCCCAAGUCGGAGUUGGCUAAACCUCUCAACCUUCAGAGCCUUGGCUCUGGGCUCUUCAAAGCCAAGUAGCCAGUACAUGGCAGGUGCUUCGUGAAGGUCUGAUAAUGAUUUAGUGCCGCCUUGACAUGCCCUGUUAGUUUUACCACCAAAAUGGAUUUUUUUAAAAAAAAUUUUUUUAAGACAGGAUGGCCUCGAAUAGCUGUGUAGCCAAGGAUGAGUGAGUUUUUAAUCCACCUGCUUCUACUACUUGCAUGUUGGGAAUUUGAGUAUGCCUAGAUUUCUGUUUGAAGAUUUAUUUUUAUUAUGUGUGUGUGUGUACACAUGCGUGCAUGUGCGUGUGUGUACACAUGCGUGCAUGUGCGUGUGCAUCUGCAUGUGUGCGUGCACAUCAUUAUGGGUAUAUGUGCGUGAGUGCAGGUACCCAUAAAGGCCAGAAGCAUUGGAUCCCCCUGAAGCUGGAGUUAUGGGACAUCGUGAGCCACCUGAGGUGGUCUUGGGUCCUCUACAAGAGCACUAUGCAGGCUUAACACAAAGCCAUCUCUCCAGCCCACAUCCUGCCUAGUUUUGUGAUGCUGGGGCUCAUAUCCAGGUCUUUGUGCGUGCUAGGCAAGCACCCACUGGUUGGGUUACCUCACUAGGCCCCUUCAAUCGUGGUUGCGUCUGCUGCCUCCUUACUGUGAGCACUAGACACCCUUCCUCCCUCCAAGACCGUCCUGCCUCCCACCAGGAUGACUGUGACAGUCUCCUCUGCACCGUCAGGGUGUCCCAGCUGACACAGAUCCCUUGAAAGGCUCCCAUCAUCUAGAGGACCACACCCACACUCCUGUUCACCAAGGGAAGGCCUGUGUGUACUAAGUGUUCCUGAGUGAUGACUGUGCCUGCCCCUGGCUUUCCUUCCUCUGCUUCAGCCUCUUCCCCUCUUCUGUUCUUGGUCUCCCUCUUGCCACUGGCAAGACUCCAGAUUUGGCCGUUGAUGACACAGAACCAAGAAGAGGAGGGAUAGGGCUGGGUUCAUGUGCCCUUCCUGGUUCAUGAGAAUUGUAGGUAAGAACCCGACUUGCUUUUUUAGUUCCUUUACAGGUCUGGGCUGAAUGUGAAUCCACGGAGACCAGACCCUACAGACAUCACUGUUACAAACACUUACGUCGUUUUUGACUCAUUGUUGGGCUGACUAAACACUAACCCCUUGGGUCCUCAGACACAGGAGGCGGGAGGUGGUGGGCAGGAAGUGGGGCUGCCUGUUAAGACACCUGGAGCAAGUUCCUUUCCAUUCUCCCCAUUCUCCCCCCCUCCCCACUGGGACAACACAGGAACACAGGAUGGCAGCUAGCUAAUGCUAAUGGGGGUAGGACGGUCCCUGUGAGGAGCUGGUGACUAACCUCCACCUUCGUCUCUCCAUCUCUCUGGCAGGGAUGGAGGUGAUCUAUCAAUGCUUCCUGACCUGGAAUGUUCCAUCUCCCUUGUGGCUGAUCUGGGGACUUAGGCAAUUAGGAACUAGGCUUGGCUCUAAGAUGCUCAGUGACACCUGCAUCUCUUAAUGCUAUUGAACAAAUGCCAAGGGGCAGGGCCAGUGGGAUCAGAUGUCCCAGGAGUUGGGUAUGGUGUAAACCCCUGCAUUCUGUCAUCUGUUGUACAUGUUCCGAGUGUAGACAGGGUUGAUGGAGAAUUGUAGUCUUUCCAAACCAGCACAGCCCUGGAGUGAGGGGUGAGCACCAUAUCACCUGGUGGCCAAGGAUGCAUGCAAUGCACAAAGGUUAAAAGAAAUCAGAGACGAAUCCUGGAAAGCUUCCUCCAGCUACUGUCACUUGAGUUGCAUCCUUUGACAGAGCCCAAAGGUUCAGCCACGGAAAAGGAGGACUGCCUCUGGUGACAAUUUCACAACAGGAUCACAAAGCAGGGAUCAGCUGAGGAAUACUCCUUUCUUUCAGACACACUGUCCCUUGCCUGGCCUCUUUGUACCCACAGUUGUAAGCUGGGCCAGGCUUGGGUGUCCUGUGUGCGCAUAUAUGUGCAUGCAUGUGCUGUGCAUACACAGAAGCCUGAGGUUGGUGUUGGGUGUAUCGCUCUAUCACUACAUCUUUUCUGAGACUCGGUGGCCAGGAGAUUAUCAGCUCAGCAAGACUAUCGGACCAGCAAGCCCCGGACCUGCCUGUCUCCCCACUCCCAGGGCGAGGUUUACCGGUGUGUAUCACUGUGUCAGUUUUCUAUGUGGGUGCCAGGGAGAGAGCCCAGGUCCUCAGGCUUGUGCAGCAAACACACUGCUGUCAGAACCAUCUGCCCAGCCUCAUGCCUGGGGAUUUAAGUUGGGGUUCGGCCAUAGCCAUCAGGUUUAUGUGCUGAAGACUCAAAUCCCAUGUCCAAUCUGCUCUUGUAAAGCAAAAGAAGGCAGUGUUGGCUAGCAGGUGGCCACUUCCAGUCACUGGGGAAAAGACAGAGGCUUCAUGUCACGUGGGCCUUGCAAAUGUGUCACCAAGUUGCAGAAGCUGCUUGCAGUGGUCUCGGAGGCAGCCUUUUCUUUGCUCUGACCCUGUAAUCUGGGGUAAUCUGCCACCAAUGUUGCUUUCCCUCUGAACGGUGACCAGGACUAGAAAUCUUCUAGGGUCUAAAUGAAGCGUUUAGGCUCACAAACCUUUGGCCUCUGCUCUUCCACCCUCUGCAAGUUGCUAGCCUGGAGGCAGCGUCUGGGAGUGAGCACUUGUUGCUUGUUUUUGGCCUACACUUUGGCUUUUUGACAGAGGUAGGAGAACCCUGGGAGUCUCGGAUCUGAGAGCCUGCAGGAGAAGAGGUAUUCUUACCCAGACUUAUAGGGCUCCACCACGAGGCAGGAGUGGGAGCCUCCCCUCUAGGUUUCCUUACAGCCGGCUGCCUGACUUCCUGGUCCACUUGUUGGAGGGCCUGAUCUUCCCAGGGAUUUUCCCAUCGUGCUGGACCCUCGACCUCAGCAGUGGCUGGGUAGCUUAGAGCUGCCUGGCCUGUUUCUCUGGGGCUGAGCUGGUUUUUUUCCCUCUCUAGUUCAUUCUUGGAUGGAUUUGCAAUUUGACUGUCACCAUGGAAACUCUUGAGUUUUGGUACAUGAGGCUGGUUGGGGGUGGGGUAGGAACUCUUCCUUUUUGGAAAAUCUCCCUUGAAUGCCUCACAGGACACAUGUGGCUGCUGCUGACCUAGCUGGGAUGGCUUGGGACAGGGAUGAAAGGCUAGGCUCUGGGGACCUGUCUCCAGGCUCUGCUUAGCCACGACCUCUCUCCAUGACCCUAGUCACCUCUUCAAGAUUCAUGACCAAGAGUUUUGGUCAAUACCCAGCAGUUACUUAUGUAGACUUAGUGUGAGGUCAGCUCAGUAGUGGACAAGCUGCUGAUAUCCCUGCCUGAUUGAAAAGUCAGGAAACCAUCUUCCCACCGGGAGCCAUGCUACAUCCACCUGCCCAGUGCAAAGAUGGGGGCAGGCUGUGAGCUUGGGAGACCCUGGAGAGCAGUGGCUGCUCUGCUCCAAGGAGCCCAAAGUCUCCUGAAGCUAUGGGAGUUAGGGAAGUAGGGAGAUAUUUUCCAACAUCCUGCCAAGAAGCAGCAGAUGGUGGGAAAUUUUGCAUACUAAAAACAACAAAAAAUAUUUUUAACGUAAAGGAAAGACAGUUAGGCCUUGGGGAGGGCAAAGGAACCCCCAAUGAAUCCUCCUGGGCCGCCAGACCAGCACAGCACAGAUGUGGUUGGCUCUGCCAAGAUGGCUUAGCCCUCAUAGUCAGGAAUAGGUGUAUGGGUGUGUGUGUGUGUGUGUGUGUGUGUGUGUAUGUCCCCGUUCAGGUGGCAGCAGGUGGGGGUCAUGUGAUAAGGUGACCCUGAAGCACAGGCUUGGGUUUGUGUCAUUUUCCAGUUGUGCACCCUUAGGCUGUUUUCUUUACCUAUCUAUGCUCGGCGGAGCCAUGGGUGAAUGAUGGCUCCCUCUGUAGUGGCUGUGAGCAUUCAACGAAGAACAAGGACAUGCAUCAUGGGCUCAUGUCCUCUAGCAUGGGGCUUGUUUCUUUGCUCUGGGCCCAGCCUACAUCACUGGGCGGGGCUGACUCUUCUAACGGAGUGUGGUGGCUCCAGCCGUGGUUCACAGGCUGAGGAGAGUGUCUGAUGCACUUAGAGCAUGGUUAGAGGCUGGGCUGGCAUUCAUGUCCAUCUUUGGCUGAGGUCCUUGCUCUCUCACCAGAGUAUACAUGGCAUGCUCCUGUCUCACCUAAUGACUUUAAACUCUCCUCCCCAGUCAGCUGACUCAUUCCUUUCUCCACAUGGGCCCUGCAUCAGAGAGGCUGUCUCACGCAUGCCCACUGUUUUGGUUUGAACCCUGGUUCUGCUUUGGAUACCUCUGGGCAAAUAUCAUACCCUAGACCUCAAUUUGUCUCAUCUGUGAAAUGGACAGGAAGGAGGGAAGAGAGAAAGACGGAAAACUGUCCAGCAAGAUGAGAUUCAGCAGGGGAAAAGACCAAACACUACACAAGCUGAUAAGAUUUUCAAAAACCAGAGUUCAACAUAAUGCCCAGGAAUCUCUUCAAUUUGUUUCUACUUCCCAGAGUCCUCUGCACCAGGAGCAGAGGGAGCCCACCCACCUGGCUGCCUCCACUUCCUGUUUUUCCUGCUUUGGCCUCCUCUCCCUGCCUGGAGCUACCCAAGGGAAGGCCACCUUAUGACCCAAAUCCAUCUCCUUCCAAGCCUGCCUAGCCCUAGAUAAAGUCACUUGCUAACUGCACUCUGAGCCGUGCAGGGCAGUGAGGUCAGUAUGGGGAUAGGUAGUUCACCAGGCCAGCAGAACAGGUGAUGGCAGAGCCCCAGCCAGGCACCUCUCAUCUGUCUUCCUGGAGGGACACUCAGAUAACCUCAGCCUGGGCAGGCACUGGGGUAGAGGGUGGAAAGUUGCCACAGACUGGGAUAAAUAGCUCUGAGGGGAGUGUUCUGCUCUUGAGGGUAGGAGAAGAGAGCAGUGGCCUCAUCCUCUGGUUUGUCCUCAGAGCUCCAGCCAGAACUGAGGAUGGCCCAAAGCUAGGGGAACCUGUCCUUCCAGGAAUGGGUCCACUGGCAGUCAGAAGAGGCUCCAUGUCUACCUGUCUUUCCUUGGGACCAGGUGACAGGAGUCAUGGUAUGCUUCCAACCUGUCCUAGUGUGUAGUCAGGGACAGGCACAGGAUCUAGGUACUUUCCUUUCCUGACACUCUUCAAGGCUGCCCCUAGAGGCUCUGAGGAUGACCCCAGGUGGGAAGAGGCAACAGGGAAGCACAGUGCUGAAUGACAAGUCAGAUCCAGGGCUCGGAGGGGUCCAAGUGCUGGCUUAUUCAUGAACAUCGAUUUUAAUUUUCUCUCCUUCGGGCUCACAGACAGAUAGGAGGCACCAGCUAAUGAAGACAAAUUCACAGAUCAAUAAAGAUGUGGUCGCCGGUGUGAAAACCCUCUGGUCCCCUAACCACAAAUGAGGAGCUCUGGGUAGUAGGAGGAGGGAUGUUAAGAACUGCUCCCUGAGAGAGAACAGGACAUACAGAGCAGGGUAGAGUGUGACAGUGUGGGAGAGACAGUGUUUGGGGAGAGGUCAGAGAGGGCUUCCUGGAAGAGGAGGGAUUUACAAAUUAACACCAUUUAAGCAGGCACAGGAGUAGGCUUGGGGUAGGCCAGGCCUCCCCGACAGUGCAGGGAAAGCCGCAACUUAGCAAUGGGCUCUUUGGAGGAUCAGGAAGCCCUUAGGAGGAAGCCCCUGAGGGAAAGGGGGUAAACUGGUUUGUGUAGGCUCUGGCUUCUGGCGGACACACACAAAAUGAGGGAGCCUGUGUGUUCUGCGCUCCUUGGCUGACAGGUGACAUGAGCCUUUGUUUCCUCCCGACUUGAACUUUUACCUCUCUCAUGGCUUUGAAAAUGGUCUCCUUGAGGCUGGUAAGAUGGCUCAGUGGAUUAAAGGUGCUUGCCACAAACCUGCCAGUCUGAGUUAGAAGAGAACCCGCUCCCGCCAGUUGUCCUCUGACCUCCAACUGACCCCAUCCCCUGGAAUAAAUUAAUGAGGAUAAAGAAAUCUGGAUCUGACUGUGACUUCUCAAAAUCCUCCUGCCUUAGCUGCCUAAGAGCUGGGCUCGCGGGUGUGCCCCAGUCUGUAUACUCUGUCUCUAUCCCUCCAAGUCUCACUGUCACAGUUUUCCAUCCAGAGGAGCCUCAGACCCAGGAUGUCUGUGUUCAGAGACUGGCAAGAGGAUGGGCUAGCUGCCUGCCUGGCUCUGAUGGGCCCUCGUCUCUGCCAUGCUCCUGGGAGGAGUGAGGAAUCAGCUGGGGACCUUCUGCAACGUCACCCUUGCCCUGGCAUGGACAGGCUGUCCAGGGAGGGAGCAGUGUAUAGCAGAGCCAGCACUUUUAUCCCCAGAGUGGAUUGGAAUCAGGCAGGGUGGGAGCCCAGAUCCGCUCACUUCACCCACACUCCCAAAGGCUGUUCAGUCCGGAGUGUGUGGGAUGAAGUUGUAGGUUUAAGCAGCAAGGCAGGUGGGCAGCGGCAGAGGGUCACGCUGUACUGUGUACAAAGAGCUCAGCCCAGCAGCCCCCUGGGGCAGUGCUGCGCCCCCUUGGCUGCACUUGAGUCAGACAUAGCUUCCAGGAGGGCAAGGCACCUCAAGAUCUCACCUUGCAUAUGGAAUUGGCUAAUCCCCUGAGGCUGUCAUUGGAUUUGGGCAAAUUAGAGGUGACAGCCAUGCCCCUAACCUUUGUGGUGUGGCUAAUGAGGGCCUUCUGCUCUGGGAAAUCAAUUUCUAAGCCAGCACAGACAUUGGGACAGGCAGGGGCUUCUGUGAGGAGGGGGAGGCAUGGAGCGGGGACUCUUCCCUGUGUAAGGUUCCUUCCUGUUUUGAGACUGCUGCUCAGCAUAACCAAGGGCUUAAAGGCAGGAUGAGGCCACAAGCCUGGGCCUUCCUUUUAAAGCAGAUCCACAGUCAUGGCUACUCAAGAACAGCGGCCUCUGUAUCUCUGAGAGCUACAGGAGAUGCAGUUUCUAGAACACUGCAGGCAUUUCCUGUCCCCUCUGUGCUGAGACUACUACACACGCUGCUUGGACUCUGUACCCGGCAUCCCCUGUUGCAGGGGCAGUCAAGGCAGACAGUCUGCCUCUUCCCUUGUAGGCCCUCUUCUCUGCCACGCUCCAGGAGGGAGUGGGUAUCCGCUCAUGAUGUUCCAGACACAGAGUCCCACACAGACCCCACACCAUAUGCAAAGCCCAAAUCUGCAGCAGCUACCGCUGGGAUCUGUAGCAGCACCGAUGCACAGGACAAAACUAAUGGCCCUUUGCUGGGUCUGGUGGAAAAGUAGCCAGAGAGGGCUUGAGAACCACAGCACCCCUACACACACACACACACACACACACAAAAAGUAGCCAGAGAGGGCUUGAGAACCACAGCACCCCUACACACACACACACACACGCACAGUGCCUCUUCCCUAGCCUUUGAUAUCCAAUUCCUCCCACAGCCCAGACAAACUAUGACUUUCUUGUACUUAUUUUCUUUACCAAGGUGGUGGCGAUCCUGCACUACAAAGACCAGGGUCAAACACUUGGAAGUGCCUGUGGGACCAACAGUGCCUUCUCAGGUGGCUCACACUGACUCCUCGUCCUCUCUCUAAUUGGUCCUUCUUGGUCUGUGUGCCCUUGUGUACGUUUGGUAGCUUCUGCUGUCUUUACAUAAAAAAACAACAACAAAACAAAAAACCCUAGUUACCUUCCACAGCAUCUCCAGACCAUAAAGCCCCUGCAAGGAGUAAAAUGAGCAGAGAUGGGACAGGGUGGCGAUGUUGGUAAAGGGACUGCAAGACAGCGUGUUCUGAGCACUUAGCACAGUGUGAGGUGGAACUGGGCAAUCAGAUUAGGCUUUGGAGGCAGUAUGGGGGGCUGUGGGGAGAGUGUGUGUGUGUGUGCGCGUGUGUGUGCGCGCGUGUGUACGUGUGCAUGUGUGUACUGACACAGUCUUUCCUGUGUAGCUGGCCUCCCUGAACAAUCUGCACAUUACUUCCUGUUUGGAAUUCCUCAGUUAGGGCUCCUUCCUUUGGCGGGGUCCUUGAACUCUAAGAUGAGAUGACUAGGGGAGAGGAGACACUGUUCCAGCCCCUCCUCCAUCGUCCUCAGGGGAACACAACAUUCCACAACAAGGCUUUCUUUCUCAGGAGCCCACAGGCUCUAAGAGGUGUGUCCUAAGGCUAGCUGGGGGAGCCCAGGCUGGCAGGCCCGGGAGAUGGCUAUGCAGUCUCCUCUAUGCUCACAGCAGGCACAGGGCCACUAUGAGCAAGGGCCAUGUGUGAGAAUUAGCUAUAGGGACUCACAUGUGACAGCCUGGGCCCUGCCUUCCACUACAGUGAGCUAGGUGGCCGAUGUGAGGAGCCCCAGGACGUCCACUUGUUUUUCUUGCAACAAGUGCAUCAUUCUUCUGUUUUCUUUCUUUACACAGAGACAUGGAUACCAGAAGAAUUUCUCUUUUUCCUUCACGGAUGCAAGCUUGGGCCUGGUGUAUGCAAGUAUCACCCAGGCACCUCUGUAAACUAGGACAUGGGUACAAAUUUUCAAGCUUGGAUUAAUGGCAGAGCCUCCAAUACGGUCUCAUCCAACCCCAAGUGACAUACUGAUGGAGACCUGUGAGAAGUGGAACUGAAGACCCCCAGCAGGAGCGAGCAGGGCUGUAGCCAGGCUCACCCAGCACGUGGUGGAGGGGAUUAAAUGUGUGACGCCACAUCCAGACCUGGACCAGCAGAGCUGUCUGUGGCACACGGAGCCAUCCUUUGUCUUUCAUCCCUGCCAGCAUCCUCAAGAGAUUUCCAGACAUAGCUGAGCUGGCAACGUAAACUGUAUCUGGGAUUUACUUCAGUCAGGUUCCCACCUCGGGGAGCAGGGCCAGGGGGUGCCAAGGAGAUGGCGCACACAGGGUCUAAUGUCCUUAGGUUCUGACCCCUCUCUAAUGGCCACAGAGAAUCACAGGUGCCACCUCUGAGGUAUAGUGUCACAGGUAAGAGUUCCCAGCAGAGAGCAGGUGUGAGAGGUUCUCAUAUUGUUUCCAGGUCAGCCUGGUGUACAGGUUCGGCACAUCGGAAGACUAACGAUUGUGUGUAUGUUGUGUGUGUGAUGGGUGUGAUGGGUGUGUGUGUGAUGGGUGUAUGGGUGUGUGUGUGUGA
rnacentral:sRNA from 1 species